UUGGUUAAAAGAUGAUGCGUUUGCUCAAGUGAUGGGUAAAGAACGCUGUGGACGUGUACGUGGGGUCGGUUUUGGACCAACCCCAACAGGAAGAAAUGGGUCCAACCUUCCAUGUUUAACUAGGCCGUCGUCCAGCGAAACGGCCCAUCGGAUGAUUGAAUUGGAAAAUUCGUUAAGGGACCAACUUGCCCAGUCAGAGCAGAGGCAUCAGGAGCAAAUCGCCUCAUUGCAUGCACGGCAUAAGGAGGAAAUCACCGAAGCAAAGCGGCAAUCAGAUGCAUGGCAUGAGCAGCAAAUGGCAGAAAUGAUGUCGGGUGUGAGAGCCAUGUUAGAAGGAAUUAGGCCACUUGUACCUGCUUCACAAAUUUCUUAGGAUAGCGCUGUAUCACAGUGAGGACUCUUUGUGAAUAUUUUAAGAUUGUAUGUUGUAUUACUUUUUGGCUGUAUCAGAAGGAAUAUUGUACACAUGAAGUUUAUUUUGACAAUCUUUUUUGUGAACAUACAACACAUUUAGUUGAAUCUCUUCUAGAAGAACAGCCAAGAGGAUUAAAUAGUGAA